AGUGGCGGUGGCGGUGGCGGCGGCAGCUCUGGAAACCUGGAUUCAGCCCCCGCAGUAACUAUGGAGCUCUCCGUCUGCAGGGCCUGGAGGCUCCGUGGUGGG
rnacentral:pre_miRNA from 1 species